GAUGAUAUACGAUACGAUAAUUCAAUCGAAUGUGUAACGCAAGAGAUAUAUAUUUAAAUUGUAAUACGUAUAUAUAUCUUAUUAUUAUUAUUAUUAUUAUUAUUAUUACUAUUACUAUUAUUUCAAUGAUCGAUGUGAAACUUACCGAACAGCACCAAUAAAACAUGGCCUAAAUGUGACGAUUGAUGCAUUUUUAUUUUCUCUUUCUUAUCAAGGAUCGCGGGGUUCUUGCCGACGUCGGGAUUAUUCUCUCCAAGUUUUGGGUUCCAAUGUCCUACUUUCCAGAUCUAAUAGUGCCAUAUUAAACAACAAUGAACGUGAUGGAAAACGAAGGCUACUGAAUGGUACAUGUGAGCGGAUGCGAAAGAGCGUGAAGAAUCGGAGUACCGGCGGCAACUUCCGUUCUCGUGUCGCCGUAGUCCUCGUCGCAGUCGAAAUAGUUGCUCUGUAAAAAUUUAAAGAUAUCAACGAAACACACGUUAAAAUAUCAUCCGUCAUUCGAGCCGUGGGCAACGAAUAUCGGUAAGACGCUUUACGUCCAUUUCAUACCUGACAGUCGAUGCAUCGGCAGCUGUCCGUCAUCGAGCACGUGAGUCCGAGAAUUUCCGCAGCCUCUUUGUAAAGUUCGGCGCUCGAUUUUCUGUGCCGCGGCGGUGAGGCGGGAGCGCUCGCUGUCCCCGUGCCGGAGGUUCGUCUUCUGCUUUUUGACCUCGAGGAAGACUCCCGGGACAGGGAGGACGCCAAACUCGAUCCCUUCGGCUGGUUCUCGUUCACCACCAGAGCCCGGCCGGCGGGUGAGGCGAAAAGUUGCAGCAUGUCCAUGUCCUGAAUAUCGUAGGAAAUGCGAGGAAAAAAAAAAGUAGGACUUAAUUUUUUCCCUUCAUAUAUUUUUUUUUUUUCUCCUCUCCUCAGGCUAUAACCUUCGGAUAAAGAGUUUCAAGUGUUUCGAAGUUUU
rnacentral:misc_RNA from 1 species